UACGAAGGGUGCAAACGUUGCUCGGAAUCAUUGGGCGUAAAGCGCACGUAGGCGGCACACCAAGUCGGAUGUGAAAUCCCUCGGCUCAACCAAGGAAGUGCAUCCGAAACUGGCGAGCUUGAGUACGGGAGAGGAUCGCGGAAUUCCCGGUGUAGAGGUGAAAUUCGUAGAUAUUGGGAAGAACACCGGUGGCGAAGGCAGCUCGCUGGGACGAUACUGACGCUGAGGCGCGAAAGCGUGGGGAGCAAACAGG
rnacentral:rRNA from 1 species